CAUUAGUAAGCGAAAUUAGCUUUUGAGCAAACCAGCUAGAAGAUAAAAUUGAUCUGAAGGAAAAUUCAAAGAGCAAAUAAGUAUACAGACCAUCAGGAACAUGUGAUAAAUAUGCCAAACUGGGGUGAGGUCGCCAAGAGUCAUUGGUGGUACUCAUCCUGCCAGACUUAAAAUGCCCAACAGCACCCAGACACCCAGCAGAGCUGGCUAGAAGUCACAGUCACAGGUGGGUGAUGUCCUUUUACGAGUUCACUCAGUGAGAUUAUCACCGGACUCCAAUGGCUCACUAAGACCACAAAGGCAUGGCAGCUGCUUACAGGAUUCCUUAGUUAUCUGCAUCGAAGUCUUG
rnacentral:lncRNA from 1 species